GCAUGCACGAAAGUGUGACAGGGCUAUCCCGAGUGCCAUCCGCUGAGGAAGGCUUUUACCCAGUCUAGAACGCUGGGGGAAUAAGGAGAGGGCAAGUCUGGUGUCAGCCGCCGCGGUAAUACCAGCUCUCCGAGUGGUGUGGAUGUUUAUUGGGCCUAAAGCAUCCGUAGCUGGCUAAGUUAGUCCCUUGUUAAAUCCACCGAAUUAAUCGUUGGAUUGCGGGGGAUACUGCUUGGCUAGGGGACGAGAGAGGCAGACGGUAUUUCCGGGGUAGGGGUGAAAUCCUAUAAUCCCGGGAAGACCACCAGUGGCGAAGGCUGUCUGCUAGAACGCGCCCGACGGUGAGGGAUGAAAGCUGGGGGAGCGAACCGGAUUAGAUACCCGGGUAGUCCCAGCUGUAAACGAUGCAAACUAAGUGUUUGAACGGCCACGUGCCGUUCUAGUGCCGCAGGGAAGCUGUUAAGUUUGCCGCCUGGGGAGUACGAUCGCAAGAUUGAAACUUAAAGGAAUUGGCGGGGGGGAGCACA
rnacentral:rRNA from 1 species